CUUAAAUUAUCAUUAAGUAAUAAGCUGUGCUCACUUUGCAUGCGUUUUCGUACGAAAUUCUGUUGUGCGAACACGUACGAAUAGGCA